rnacentral:rRNA from 1 species
GAUGAACGCUGGCGGCGUGCCUAAUACAUGCAAGUCGAGCGAAUGGAUUAAGAGCUUGCUCUUAUGAAGUUAGCGGCGGACGGGUGAGUAACACGUGGGUAACCUGCCCAUAAGACUGGGAUAACUCCGGGAAACCGGGGCUAAUACCGGAUAACAUUUUGAACCGCAUGGUUCGAAAUUGAAAGGCGGCUUCGGCUGUCACUUAUGGAUGGACCCGCGUCGCAUUAGCUAGUUGGUGAGGUAACGGCUCACCAAGGCAACGAUGCGUAGCCGACCUGGGAGGGUGAGCGGCCACACUGGGACUGGGACACGGCCGAGACUCCUACGGGAGGCAGCAGUAGGGAAUCUUCCGCAAUGGACGAAGGUCUGACGGAGCAACGCCGCGUGAGUGAUGAAGGCUUUCGGGUCGUAAAACUCUGUUGUUAGGGAAGAACAAGUGCUAGUUGAAUAAGCUGGCACCUUGACGGUACCUAACCAGAAAGCCACGGCUAACUACGUGCCAGCCGCCGCGGUAA